UACGUAGGGAGCAAGCGUUGUCCGGAAUCAUUGGGCGUAAAGCGCGCGUAGGUGGCCCUGUAAGUCCGCUCUGAAAGUCGAAGGCUCAACCUUCGAAAGCGGGUGGAUACUGCAGGGCUAGAGUCCGGAAGAGGCGAGUGGAAUUCCUGGUGUAGCGGUGGAAUGCGCAGAUAUCAGGAGGAACACCAACGGCGAAGGCAGCUCGCUGGGACGGUACUGACACUGAGGCGCGAAAGCGUGGGGAGCAAACAGG
rnacentral:rRNA from 1 species